rnacentral:lncRNA from 1 species
UUUCGACAUAGCCAGCGUCGUUGUCGUGCCGGUCUGCAGUGUUUGGGCUCACAGCAUGAAGCCAGCGCAGGUCCUGGUCCCUGGACCGCAGCCGCCCGCUGUGGGAGGCGUGUGCGGGGAGGCGUGCGGGGCGCGGGCACUGCUCACCUGAGCUGUGUGUGUUCUCUGCCGCAGGCCUGCCCAUGCGAUCGUGCCUGGAGCACUCUGGUUUCCAGGUGGCAGACACGGUUCACGCAUCUUAGUACACGAGACACCUUCGAGGCUGGGGUCGGCUGGACUAGGAGAGCUAUUCUGGGAGCGGCCGGCGGCAGGUCAGCAGGUGCGUCUCCGCAGAGCCCGGGCCAGCUUUGCUGCCUGCAGGCACCUUCUUCUCCGUCCACGCCCUGUGCCGACCCCAGCUGACCACGAGAAAGGACCGCGUGGCUAAAUGAGUGCCGGUCUUGCUGCCUGCGUGUCUUUAACAGAGUGCAUGCGCUGACUUUCCUCUAACAAUGAAAUUGUGACUGCACCGGGCGGCUGUGGGACAUGAAGCCGCGUGGCCAUCAGCACCCCCUUUGCUCGCACAGCGAGGACGUUUUCUUAGCGUUGGCACUAGCACUGGGGCUGCCAGGCCGGCCGCGGGCAGGCGCCUCUGCUAGACUCCUGUGGUCGCUGUGAGCCUGGCUGUGUGGUGGUGGCAGAGCUGUGUCUGCGCCG